GGAAUAUUGGACAAUGGGCGAAAGCCUGAUCCAGCAAUGCCGCGUGAGUGAUGAAGGCCUUAGGGUCGUAAAGCUCUUUUAGCAGGGACGAAGGGCAACUUGACGGUACCUGCAGAAAAAGCACCGGCUAACUCCGUGCCAGCAGCCGCGGUAAUACGGAGGGAGCUAGCGUUGUUCGGAAUUACUGGGCGUAAAGCGCGCGUAGGCGGCUUUUCAAGUCAGGGGUGAAAUCCCGGGGCUCAACCCCGGAACUGCCCUUGAAACUGGAUGGCUAGAAUACUGGAGAGGUGAGUGGAAUUCCGAGUGUAGAGGUGAAAUUCGUAGAUAUUCGGAAGAACACCAGUGGCGAAGGCGACUCACUGGACAGUUAUUGACGCUGAGGUGCGAAAGCGUGGGGAGCAAA
rnacentral:rRNA from 1 species